UGAACACUCCAAGAAAAUCUCGGUAUAUUGGGGAUUGCAUGGAAUACUGUGAAUGAAGUUUUAACUGAUAGAAUCUACUGGAGAUGGCCUGUGCAGACAGACUUGGGAGAAAGAGAGAGAAGAAAGUUAUUAUUAAGCUGUUUAAUAAUGAAAAAGUAACGGAGGCAUGACGUAUGAGGAAUCAUUAACAGUGCAUCAAUUAAACAACACGAAUCCCGGAAUUCGAAUUAUAUUGGGAGGAACUACAAUUCAUAACUUUAACAGUUUUCUAGAAGAGAUCAAAUCCAUUUUGGAUUCAGGAAUUGGCCAGAAGAAUCCUCGAUGGUGAUUUAACGACCAAACUUUGUUAAUUUUAUUCCAGCGAGUACUCUCGAUCUGUCAUUCGGUUGCUAUAUUUAUGGUAAAUUAACUUAAUGUCAUACUGUAUACAUUGUUAUCUUUUGUUAACCAUUCAAACUAAAUUAGCUAUGGACAAAGCAUUGUAAGUACGGAAAAAUUAAUCCAGAGUGCUUAGUUUCGAGUUACGUAUGCAGUAAUAUCAAGAUUUUUGUAACGUAACUAUUCAUUGAACUGUUUAUGUUACAAUGCAUGUAAUUGGAGACUAAAUAUUCAAAUAUUAUUAAAAAUUUAACUUUAUUUAACUAAUUCAGAUAGAAAUAAAUUUAAAUAUCUUGUAAAUAGUGUAAUUAUAAUUGAGGUAUCAUAAAAAAUCAGCUUUAAAGUAAAAACUAAAUUGAAGAAAUUUAAGAAUUGAAUUAUCAUUCCUAUUUUAUUAUAAAACUUUUUGUAUAAUUUUAUUUAUUCAGACUUGUUAAGUUUAAAAUAUACAGGAAAACCUCAUUAAAUUCAAAUUCCGAUACUCCAAUUAGAUAUUCUGUUCAGAAACAAUCACAAAAUACAGUUCCAAAGAUUCAAACUCUAAUUAAAUAUUUUAAGAAAGGAUAAGUAAUUAAACGUUAUUAUCUUUAGAAUUACAAUUAAUUUAUAAAGCCUAAAAUAUGAAUUUUUAUUAAUAAAUAAUGAUCCCACAGUUUAUAUAGGAACAUUUGAAUUGAGUUAAUAGAGUUGUUGCUCAUACUGUCAUUUAGGUAGAAGAUUGAUGCUUUCAAUCCAUUGAUUUCUAUUUUUAAAAUCCAAAAUAUAUUCUGUUAUAAACUUACGACUCAUACAACAAAAACAGACGAAAUUAUUAUUUAUGUUUUCUAUUUAUAAUGGAGUAUGAUAAAGUAUUCAAUUUGUAGCCCUUUACUAUAAAAAAAGUUGUCCACUCUCUGCUUAAGACAAGCGUCUAAAGUAAGUUUGUUAAAAAGUGUUAUAUGCUAAUGGAAUGUCUAAGAAUGUCAGCAAAAGUACUUUUCUACAGUGUAUCUGCCAUACGAAUAUACCAUACAUUACUCUCAUAUGUUGUCUAGGCAACAUCUGUACAAAAGUACCAGUACAUUCAUUAUAAUGGACAUGCUUUAUAUGCAUGUGUUCCCGGCCUUAAUUAUAUCUUCUUGAUGACAAUGCACUUUUAUCCUGUCCGUAUUGAUCUUAUAUAACAGAUAACAAGCAAUAAACAACAGAUGUUAGACUUUAAAACAUUAUAAAUACACAAAUAUUACCAUUUACAUUCAUCUAAAAUGUAUAAAACAGCUUUUCUCUAAGAUGUUGGCAGGAAUUAUGCAGAAAAAAUAUGCGUACAGAAAGCUCUCCGGGUAUGAAUCGAAGCAUACUUGCAGAAUCCUUCCGAACUAACCAAGGUGCCAUUUUGACAAUUGAUGUCUAUGAGAAAGUUCGGUUCUGCGACCCAAUAAAGUUACUUUCCAAAAUUCAAAGACAUUCCCACUAAGAACCGUGGAGGAAGACAAGAAAAAUAGCUUCAAAAAAUGUUUAUAAGGUUUUUAAAGUCUGAUUCCUUCGGUUAUUGCUGGCUGUUUCUUAUCAAUUGUGAAAGAUAAUAGCAGCUAUAAUGUUGUAUAACUUAUUUCUUUACUUACCCAUUCAAGUAUUACAUAAGAUAAAUUUUGCUAAAAUAUAUUAUAAACACAAGAUAGUAAACUUGAAAAUUUUACUUCUAAACAACAAAAACUAAACAUCAAGUUAAUAAGUUUAAUUAGUAUCAAGCUCAAAGGAUUUGUAACUAAUCCAUUAAACAGAUAAAAUAAUUUUGAAAGUCUAUACAGUUAAUCAUAGAACUCACAAAUAAUUGCACGUGUGGAGUUUUUGAUGCUGUGAGUCGGAUCUGGUGAUGCCGUGAAUUGCCAAAAGUGAUUUGUGGCAUCAACAAGUGACCUCUCAGCAUUGUACACUCCUGAAGCUACAUCUUGUGAGUUCUACUUUCAUUUGAUCACCCAGAAUAAUACACAUAAUUUUGGUCUUCUAUGUUAUCGAUACAUUUAAUUGUGUUUUUUUCUAAAAAAUACAAGAAAUUACACUAACAAAUGAUGUUUUCCUGUAUUCCAUAAUGAUUUUAUAGCUUUCGUAAUGCUAUUUUGAUGUUAAAAUUAUUCAAUUUUAUACAUAUAAGUGCAGCUCGGUGUUUUGUGUGUCUAUCCUCUCGAUGUAUAGCUUUGAUAUUGAAUUACAAAAUAUUAGAAGUUAAUAAUUUAUAAGUCUAAUGUGUUUAUAAAUGUUUUUAUAAAAUUUAUAUUCUGUAUGAGCUGUUUACCAUAAAAAAUAAUUUAUUUAUGCAUUUUUGACAUUUCUAAAGUCAUAUUCUGUUAUCGAUGAUGUCAUAAAAUAAUAGCUUGUGUUGAAAUUUAUUUAAAAUUCAAAUGAUAAUCUGAAAUUUCUGGAAAAUUUAAUAAAAUAAUAAUUUAAAAUUUGUCGACAAUAUUAAAUCAACUUUAAUCAAUACAUUGUUCUAUUUAUGUUCUAGUAACAACUGUUCUACUCUGUGGUGGCUUUCUCACGAGGCUUCUGGGUCUGGGAACAAAAGUUCGGAAACAAAAAUUAGGAAUAUUGUGCUGUUGUGAGCCUAAGAACACUAUUUCUAAAUCUGUGACUAAUUCUAUUACUAUCGGAGCUUAUUCCGAUGGUAAGGAUCAUCACCAUUCCUCCUUACCGUUAUAGGCAGCAUCGUGAUAUGAAACUUGUGCAUUUUCACAGUCCCACACAAAGAGAUACUUAGUUAACAUAUAAUCCUUGAUACCUCACAGAUACACCAUUGUAGUUCCACGGUGCCAUGUUUCUAAAUAUGUCACUGGUUCUAUUACCAUUAUGAUCCUUACUCAACUUGUGCAUUCUCACAGAGAUGCUUACAAAGGCGUCAUGCUUGGUUACCACUCAAUUCUUGAUACUUCGAAUAGGCCCCAUAUUUAUAUAUUCAGCAUACCCUGCAAAAUAUGGAAAGUUCUGCAUCCACUCGGACAUGUAUUGUUCUGGUUUUCGAGAGUAAGUAAUGAGAGUAAGAUAGUGGGCCUCUCAGAAAUUAAGAGAGGCCCACCGGUUACCAUUUUUGAGGCUUUACUUAUUGAAGAAACUACAUAUUGAUUAAUUAAUUAAUUAAUUUUACUUAUUAGAAAUUGUAAAUAUAAGAA